CAGACUCCCGUUAUGUCCUGCACUCACCGGCCAAAGCCGCCGCAGCCGCCGAUCUCCCCCGACCGUGUUCUCCCUCUCCGGACUCGGGUAUCUCCAGGGACAGCUGAUCAUGCGCACUCCCGGCCCGCCGCCAUGUUGGGUCUUCUCCACAAGACCAUAAGAACUUAGGAGACUCAGUCCUGUCAUCUGCACAGCGGAGAGACUGAACUGGAUGAUCUUGGAGGCCUUCUCUAACUCUGACGUGACUCCCCAGGCAGAGAGUGGUGAUGUGGGGGGUGGGAAGGACACUGACCAGAGAGAGCAGCACCCCCAAAAAGCUGGUCCACAUGCGUGAGGAUGAACUCGACGACGAUGGACUGCACACGCACCUCCAUGAAGGCUGCCGUCCCAUUGAAGCCUGAGGCCUCUAUGUCCUUAGACCUGUGGAGGUGUGGAGUUAUGCCUCGCAGCCCCACCGCAUCUCCCCAUUCAAAUUCUCCAUAAAAAUACCUUAUACCCUU